UACGGGGGGAGCAAGCGUUGUUCGGAUUUACUGGGCGUAAAGGGCGCGUAGGCGGCCACCGCAGGUCAGUUGUGAAAUCUCUGGGCUUAACCCAGAAAGGUCAACUGAUACUGCGGGGCUAGAGUGCAGAAGGGGCAACUGGAAUUCUCGGUGUAGCGGUGAAAUGCGUAGAUAUCGAGAGGAACACCUGCGGCGAAGGCGGGUUGCUGGGCUGACACUGACGCUGAAGCGCGAAGGCUAGGGGAGCGAACGGG
rnacentral:rRNA from 1 species